CCUACGGGGAGCAGCAGUGAGGAAUAUUGGUCAAUGGGCGAGAGCCUGAACCAGCCAAGUCGCGUGAAGGAUGAAGGAUCUAUGUUUUGUAAACUUCUUUUAUAUGGGAAUAAAGUGCGGAACGUGUUCCUUUUUGUAUGUACCAUAUGAAUAAGCAUCGGGUAACUCCGUGCCAGCAGCCGCGGUAAUACGGAGGAUGCGAGCGUUAUCCGGAUUUAUUGGGUUUAAAGGGUGCGUAGGUGGUUAAUUAAGUCAGCGGUGAAAGUUUGUGGCUCAACCACAAGAUUGCCGUGGAAACUGGGUGACUGGAGUACAGUUGAGGCAGGCGGAAUGCGUGGUGUAGCGGUGAAAUGCAUAGAUAUCACGCAGAACUCCGAUUGCGAAGGCAGCUUACUAAACUAUAACUGACACUGAAGCACGAAAGCGUGGGGAUCAAACAGGAUUAGAUACCCUUGUAGUC
rnacentral:rRNA from 1 species